rnacentral:rRNA from 1 species
AUUGAACGCUGGCGUCAGGCCUAACACAUGCAAGUCGCACGAGUGGCGGACGGGUGAGUAAUGUCUGGGAAACUGCCCGAUGGAGGGGGAUCCCUACUGGAAACGGUAUCUAAUACCGCAUACCAUCGGAUUUGCCCAGAUGGUAUUAGCUAGUAGGUGGGGUAACGGCUCACAUAGGCGACGAUCCCUAGCUGGUCUUAGCUGAUGACCAGCCACACUGGAAAUGAGACACGGUCCAGACUCCUACGGGAGGCAGCAGGGGGGAAUAUUGCACAAUGGGCGCAAGCCUGAUGCAGCCAUGCCGCGUGUAUGAAGAAGGACUUCGGGUUGUAAAGUACUUUCAGCGAGGAGGCGUUACUCGCAGAAGAAGCACCGGCUAACUCCGGGCCAGCAGCCGCGGUAAUAC